GCAAGUCGAACGAGAACGGUCUUUAGCUUGCUAAAGAUGUCAGCUAAGUGGCGCACGGGUGAGUAAUAUAUAGUUAAUCUGCCCCAAAGAAGAGAAUAAUUGUUGGAAACGACUUGUAAUGCUCUAUAUGCCUUUAUUACAUAAGUAAGCAAGGGAAACAUUUAUGGCUUUGGGAUGGGACUGUACGGUAUCAGAUAGUUGGUGAGGUAAUGGCUCACCAAGUCAAUGACGCCUAACUGGUUUGAGAGGAUGAUC
rnacentral:rRNA from 1 species